UAAUAACUCUAGCUUGAGGGGGUCUGAUAGGUACUUUUUCUCGAACCUAUAUAAAAAAAAUCACAGACAACGUAUAUGAAUUUUAUGGCCAAGCUUUUGCAAAAGGAGAAAAACUCUGUCAACUGCUCCUCCGAGCUGUUCACAGAGCAUUCUGAAAACAUUUAGUUUGUUU